GUCCUAGGCGCUCCAGUGUGCCUUGCUAUAGUUGGGGCAGGAGAGAUUUCCGAAAUCUACCUGCAGACUUUCAAAACCCGGGGCCACAGGCACAGGAGCAAACUCCUUACUCUUGUUGCUGAUUUGCUCACAGGCAGAACUGGUGAGAUCAGUCCAGUCCAUUAUCAUCAGGAUGGGGAGCAUGGCGGUGUGCAGAGACUUACCCCUUUUAAUGCUUAUGGGAUCCAAGACUUAAAAGUGUUCUGAGACAAUUCAGGGCAAUUACUUUCCUUAG